UACGGAGGAUCCGAGCAUUAUCCGGAUUUAUUGGGUUUAAAGGGUGCGCAGGCGGGAUGUUAAGUCGGCGGUGAAAUUUUGCAGCUCAACUGUAAAAGUGCCUUCGAUACUGGCUUCCUUGAGUGUAGAUGAAGUAGGCGGAAUUUGUGGUGUAGCGGUGAAAUGCAUAGAUAUCACGAGGAACUCCGAUUGCGCAGGCAGCUUACUAAACUACUACUGACGCUCAGGCACGAAGGCGUGGGGAUCAAACAGGAUUAGAUA
rnacentral:rRNA from 1 species